UACCUGCAGCUCGAGUGGUAACCGCUAUUAUUGGGCCUAAAGCGUCCGUAGCCGGUUUGGUAAAUAUCUGGGUAAAUCGUGAGGCUUAACUUCACGAAUUUCGGAUAGACUGCCAGACUUGGGAUCGGGGGAGGUCAGAGGUACUCCAGGGGUAGCGGUGAAAUGUUGUAAUCCUUGGAGGACCACCGGUAGCGAAGGCGCCUGACUAGAACGAGUCCGACGGUGAGGGACGAAGCCCUGGGGCGCAAACCGGAUUAGAUACCCGGGUAGUCCAGGGUGUAAACGAUGUGGGCUUUGUAUUGGAGGUCCCACGUGGCGUCCAGUGCAGAAGAGAAGUUGUUAAGCCCACCGCCUGGGAAGUACGGUCGCAAGGCUAGAAACUUAAAGGAAUUGGCGGGGAGCACAGCAACGGGAGGAGCGUGCGGUUU
rnacentral:rRNA from 1 species